GACGAACGCUGGCGGCGUGCUUAACACAUGCAAGUCGAACGGAAAGGCCCUUCGGGGUACUCGAGUGGCGAACGGGUGAGUAACACGUGGGUGAUCUGCCCUGCACUUUGGGAUAAGCCUGGGAUACUGGGUCUAAUACCGAAUAUGAUCAUCGGCUUCAUGGUCGGUGGUGGAAAGCUUUUGCGGUGUGGGAUGGGCCCGCGGCCUAUCAGCUUGUUGGUGGGGUAAUGGCCUACCAAGGCGACGACGGGUAGCCGGCCUGAGAGGGUGACCGGCCACACUGGGACUGAGAUACGGCCCAGACUCCUACGGGAGGCAGCAGUGGGGAAUAUUGCACAAUGGGCGCAAGCCUGAUGCAGCGACGCCGCGUGAGGGAUGACGGCCUUCGGGUUGUAAACCUCUUUCAGCACAGACGAAGCGCAAGUGACGGUAUGUGCAGAAGAAGGACCGGCCAACUACGUG
rnacentral:rRNA from 1 species